ACUCAGAGGAGCCUUAUAGGAAAUGGCCUGGAGCAUUGGCAGGAGAUUUGGAAAAGGCUCUCCAUGGGAAUGGAAGCAAGAGUCUCUUUGAAAAUGGGACCAGUGGAGAAGAAGAAAAAGCAGGAAGAAGGCAGGCAGUUAUUCUCAGACUGGAGCUGAAGUAGAAUUGUUAGAUUAAAAGGUUUGUUCAUAGUGAUGCUUUCUAAGGCCCACUUGACUUCACAUUCCAGGAUGUCGGGCUCUAGGAUCAAGCCCUGAGCCUUUAGAGUGGGAACACUUACUCCAAGACCCUAGACUACAAGAGAAUUAACCCUAGGGAGUAUCAUAUAGUGAGAACUCACACAAAGGAAACUGCUUGAAUGACCAGGCGUCACUCAACCACCAGUAGCAUCCUGUGCAUCUAAACAACAAAACAAAAAUACAAAUCUAAGCAGCAGCAGACAGGAUUACCACCUCACUCAGCCUAGCCCCUCAGAGGAAAAACAAACAAACAAACAAAUACAGCUCAACUCUCACCCUAUAUGAAGCUUACACAAACCACUGGACCAAACUUAGGAGGGCAGAAACCAAAAGGAAGAAAUAAUUCAACCUUGAAGCCUGGUAAAAGGAGACCUCAAACACAAUAGUUAAAAAAAAA
ensembl:lncRNA